rnacentral:rRNA from 1 species
UACGUAGGGGGCAAGCGUUGUCCGGAUUUAUUGGGCGUAAAGGGCGUGUAGGCGGUUUGGUAGGUCCGUUGUGAAAACUCGAGGCUCAACCUCGAGACGCCGAUGGAAACCAUCAGACUAGAGUCCGGAAGAGGAGAGUGGAAUUCCUGGUGUAGCGGUGAAAUGCGCAGAUAUCAGGAAGAACACCCGUGGCUAAGGCGGCUCUCUAGUACGGUACUGACGCUGAGACGCGAAAGCGUAGGGAGCGAACAGG